GUCCACUUAGAGGGAACAGUCAGUGCAAAUCAAUACAAUGUUCUUCUGACUGAUCACCGUUAUAAAUAUUUCUUUUCUAAUGAGAGUGGUCUCUUCCACCUGAGGGAAUAUCUUUUGAAAGAAUGCUGUUCAUUGCUCCAGUACACUUCCAAAGACUUGUAGAACCUAUGUAUUGAAGCUGUUCUGGUGGCUUGUGGUGGCCCAACACCUUAUUUAAGACUUACCUUAUGUUGGCUUUAUGUUGGCUUUAUCUUUAAUUUGUCACCUGUCUGUAAGUUCCUAAAGGCCAAAGGACCAAUAAGAGAGAUGAGUUUAUAUUAGCAGUCUGUUUUAGCCCAACCCAGUCCUCUCCACCCUUUGACACACUACUGUACAUAAAUACAGCUCAUGGAGUUAUGCAUGUGUCUCACUGCGCACUACACACACAUCUCUGCAAUCACACACUUCUCCAGCAUGCACACAGGACUGCUCUCUCUGUGGGUGACAGGGGUUUUGUUGCUGCCUCAGUGUUUGGGUUAUACAGAUGAUAGUGAAUUUGAUUAUGCGACACAGACCGCAGGAUACACCGACUAUACAGAUUACUCCUUUGAAUAUGAAUCUGACUAUAAUACAACCAGUAUAAAUUAUGAUAUGUAUGUAACUCCCAAUCAAGGCAAUAAACAUGGAGAAUCCAAUUCAGUAAACGAAGAAGCAGUCCGCGGUGGCAUGAACCCGAUAAAUGAUGAGGCCUCAACAGUGUGUAGAUACUGUGCUGUAGGACUGGGACUUAUAGUGCAACGGUUCUGCCAAUAAACAUGACUGGGAUUUUUACACACACAGCCUGAACAAAGGGCUGAAAGAAUUUGGAUUUUCGGGCACUGCAGGAUGCCAUUUCAGAUGCCCAAGCAGCUUGACCUUUUCUUCAGAGGGUGCACUGUGGGUUCUUUUUAACUGUUCUUUUAAGCAUUUAUUCUGAGUUUUGUAAAACCUUCAUUAAAUAUAAAGUGUACACUGUAGAAUUUGGCCAAGCAAUAGUGACUUAUACAUUGGUUCAUCAAAAAGCCCUAGAAAGAUACACUUACUAUUACCCAUGCCUAAUUCACUUACAUUGUAAGCUAGCCACAUAGGCGUCACAAUGGAUCGUGAGCCUUUUUUUAUUGAAAAAAACCCCAAAACAAAUACAAAACAGAUAUCAGGUACAGAACUUAAUGUAAAGUUGCUGGCAGCAUACAUAGUAAAUUAUAGGGUUGAAUAUUAAUAGCAAAUAUGAAUAUAUUUUUAUUAACAAAUUGGGCAGAAUUCCACCUCCAUUUUUUUUAAAAAGAACAAUCAAUCAUGUAAUUGUAUGCAAACAAAUGUUUUUACACAACUUUAAAGCAUCAAACAUUUCAUUUUGGAAGCACCAACCUCUCAUUCAGACUUUGUAAAUCAAACAGAGUUGGAUAUAGAGAGAUUGAUGGAGAGAUAGAAAUAAAGCAGAAUGAUUUUUUAUAUUAAUUGUUAUAAUGAUGUUAGGGAGAAAACAAUUAUUACCGUGAUGUUACAGAAAACAAACAAACAAUAUCCAAUAUUACCGCAUGAGUGUAGAACACUCAUUUUUAAGCUGUUUGGCAAUCUCUUUGGCAUAAAAAACACACAAUUUGCUUAUACUCUUACAAAAAACGGUUCCUUAAGGGAUCAGUUUGCUUACACUCUCACAAAAAGGUCCUUCACUCCCUAAAGAGCUUUACUUGAAACCCUGUCUAUGAAGAAAACUCUGUUGUAGGGUUCUAUAAAGAAAUUUUAAGAAUUCCCUUAGAGUGACAAAAAAGAACCCCACAAUGAACAUUAAAUCACAGUUGUGGUAAAAAGAAAACCAAAAAUAAUUUCCUUUGAUUGCAAAUAUUUCACCCCCCCCCCCCCCCCCCCCCCAAGACAGAUUUACCACUCUUGCCUUGGCACAUUGGUAAUUUUUUAUUAAUUCACCUGAAGCGAUUAUCAGAAAAGGCUCUGCAGGCUUAUGCUAUUUUAUAGUCAGGUUUGAUCUUGUUUUGACUUGUUGACAAGAAUGAAAGCAAAGCACAGCUUUCGUUCUCUCUGAUUCUAUGUGAAAUUUUAGACAAAUGUUUAAAAACAACCCCUGUAUUUUUGUCCAAUCUGUCACAUGAACAGAAGCACAUUUUAAGCUGAAAGACUUGUUUUUGUCUGACUCUUGCAAGCCUUUGAUAUGUAUCAUUUUAGGAUUUUAUAUCUAAAUUUCAGAUGUGGGUAACGUUGCUGAAAGCUUUCCUCAAAUAAUCCCUACUGCUUGCAAAAAACAAUUAUAUCUUAAAUCCCUAAUUUAGGAGUAACUAUGGUAACUAGUUGAUGGUAACUAGAGUCAGCUGGUGUCCAAUAACCUUCACAUUGCAUUUGGAAGAGAGACAGAGAGAGAGACAGAGAGAGAGAGAGAGAGAGAGAGAGAGAGAACACCACCACAGCACUGCUACAAUACCCACCACAUACAAUCAUUAUUAAAGUCCCUUACUGCAGACAUGUAAUAAACAAAUAAAGGAAUUAUGCCUUGGGACAUAACAAUAUAAAAUGAGUAGAUUUUCAGUAGCCAUUCAGUAUAAAUAAGAGAUUAGUUAGUAUAUAUUAUUAUACUAACAUGAAUUACAGAAGAUAAUAAAAAAAGUUCAGCAUGACUAAAUCUCUGCCACAUUGUGAAGGGUAUUCUGUUUUUUUUCUUCUUUCAGUGAAUCAGAUCAUUUAACUAAGCUCACUGGUAAUAGAUGACUCCCAAAUAGCUCAGUGCCAUUUUUUAGUUUAAACUUAAUAAAUGUUGUGAUAUCAUGACAGUGAUUGUUAUUUCUUUGUUGCAUGGAAUCUUGUUUUACCUUCUAAUGGAAGAAAUAACAUUGUUUUGCAUAGAAUUUUGAAUCAGGUGCUACAAAUGUGCAUUAAAAAAUACUGGCUUUCACUGCAUUGGCAUUGUGCCUAAUGUGUCUGUGUUUCAUUAAGGAGAUGAAUUUUCAUUUAUCCUUAUUGCUGAUCGCAUCUCCUAAUAUAUGCAGUACAUCUUCAACAAGCAGCAGGUGGAUCCUCCGUCAUGCUGCUUCAUACACACAGCUAAGAGUCAAAGACUCAUCUCAUCAUCCGUGCUAACGAACAGCUCAGAUGAUGAAAAGUGGUUUCCAUGGAAGCUUAUUGAUUAAAUUACUCUACAGAGUAACAGCAAGUGUACAAGAGUAAGAUCAUUGCUUAUAUCUAUGAAAAAAAAACAAACCUUAAUAGAGUUGUCUUGUUCGUGAAGGACGCAUCAAUACUGUCACAGAUUGCAGAUACUAGAACUUAUAUGUUUGCUUUAAUUAUCAUUAUGUUGAAUUGUGUAAAGGAAAACAACAUGUUCCUAUCUCCGUUACAUGGACAUGUUAAAUAACCAUCCAGCUCUCCAGCUUGUGAGAUGCAAAGAAAUUACCUUCAUCAAAAUAUUUGCUGUUGGAGAUGGUCAUUUAUUUUACAUCCAAGUUGGUCUCUAUGUGAUGUUUGAUGUAAUCACGCUAUAUGGCAGGGCAUACCAUUAGCCUAGACAAAAGAGAUGAACACAGGGAUUAAUAUGGAAAACAAUCACUGUGACAGAAAAUUUCAUGGGUUGGGAUGUAGGCUGUGUUUACUGAGCUGUAAAACGUGCAAAUCACACAAAUCCAGCAGAGAUACAACUUUAUUUUAAUGCUCUGUGUACUUUAUGAAUUGCUUGUGGAUAUGUAGCAACCUUUCUACAUUAAGUAAUGCUCCUUCUUCCUUUCCUCACUUUUCUUCCUCAUGUAUUAGCUCAUCCCUCUGCUUAUCUUAGGAAUUUAGGAAAAAAAUUGGAAAGCAAAGACAAAGAAAAAUACAUAUAACAAACUUAGUGCUCGAUU
ensembl:lncRNA